rnacentral:rRNA from 1 species
UACGAAGGGUGCAAGCGUUACUCGGAAUUACUGGGCGUAAAGCGUGCGCAGGCGGUGAUGUAAGACAGGUGUGAAAUCCCCGGGCUCAACCUGGGAAUGGCAUUUGGGACUGCAAGGCUGGAGUACGGCAGAGGAGACUGGAAUUCCUGGUGUAGCAGUGAAAUGCGUAGAUAUCAGGAGGAAUACCGAUGGCGAAGGCAGGUCUCUGGACCGAAACUGACGCUGAGGAGCGAAAGCGUGGGGAGCAAACAGG